UGCGGAGGGGACUAGCGUUGUUCGGAAUUACUGGGCGUAAAGCGCACGUAGGCGGAUUUGUAAGUCAGGGGUGAAAUCCCGGGGCUCAACCCCGGAACUGCCUUUGAUACUGCAAAUCUCGAGUCCGGAAGAGGUGAGUGGAAUUCCUAGUGUAGAGGUGAAAUUCGUAGAUAUUAGGAAGAACACCAGUGGCGAAGGCGGCUCACUGGUCCGGUACUGACGCUGAGGUGCGAAAAGCGUGGGGGAGCGAACAGG
rnacentral:rRNA from 1 species